rnacentral:rRNA from 1 species
UACCCGCACCCCGAGUGGUCGGGACGAUUAUUGGGCCUAAAGCAUCCGUAGCCGGUCCUACAAGUCUUCCGUUAAAUCCACCUGCUUAACAGAUGGGCUGCGGAAGAUACUAUAGGGCUAGGAGGCGGGAGAGGCAAGCGGUACUCAGUGGGUAGGGGUAAAAUCCUCUGAUCCAUUGAAGACCACCAGUGGCGAAGGCGGCUUGCCAGAACGCGCUCGACGGUGAGGGAUGAAAGCUGGGGGAGCAAACCGG